CUAUAUGGUGGCUGUGUUUGGGACGCUCUCGGGCGUGCCAGGAAUGUGAGCCUCACUGGUUGACCAACCCGAACACAGUCCGCCUCCCAU
rnacentral:antisense_RNA from 1 species